rnacentral:rRNA from 1 species
UCAGACGAUGCGUCAUGUAUAUCAAUAAGCGGAGGAAAAGAAACUAACAAGGAUUCCCUUAGUAACGGCGAGUGAAGCGGGAAGAGCUCAAAUUUGAAAUCUUCAAGGUUUUACCUUGACGAAUUGUAGUUUAAAGAAGUGUUUUCUGCUGAAGUUUUGGUAAAAGUUCUUUGGAAUAGGACAUCAUAGAGGGUGAGAAUCCCGUAUUUGACCAUUAUUUUCAGCUUUGUGAUACACUUUCAAAGAGUCGGACUGUUUGGGAAUGCAGUCCAAAAUGGGUGGUAAAUUUCAUCUAGAGCUAAAUAUUGGCGAGAGACCGAUAGCGAACAAGUACCGUGAGGGAAAGAUGAAAAGAACUUUGAAAAGAGAGUUAAAUAGUACGUGAAAUUGUCAAAAGGGAAGCGUUUAACACCAGUGUUGUUUUCUGAAAAUCAACCUCUGUUAGCUUUAUGCAUGUUUGUUUAGACCUAAUCAGCUAUCUUGCAUGUUCUAUUGUUUGCAGUGGUGCACUUUUCAGUUUACAGGUCAACAUCAGUUUUUUUUACCGUAAAAAAGUUAAAGAAAGGUAGCUCAUGGCUCCGGUCGUGAGUGUUAUAGUCUUUUUCCUAUGCGGUAGGAGAGACUGAGGUCUGCAGUGUAGGCUAUUUGGCUAGAUACUCAGGUGCUAUGUGAUACCAUUUCAUAAACAACUUGUUGAUUAUGUUUUGUCUAUUGCAUCCUCGCUUGUACUAUCAUACCUACGCUUAGGAUGUUGACUGAUAUGUAGUCGUA